rnacentral:rRNA from 1 species
UACGUAGGGUGCGAGCGUUGUCUGGAAUUAUUGGGCGUAAAGAGCUCGUAGGCGGUGUGUCACGUCGGCCGUGAAAACCUGCAGCUUAACUGUGGGCGUGCGGUCGAUACGGGCAUCACUGGAGUUCGGCAGGGGAGACUGGAAUUCCUGGUGUAGCGGUGAAAUGCGCAGAUAUCAGGAGGAACACCGGUGGCGAAGGCGGGUCUCUGGGCCGAUACUGACGCUGAGGAGCGAAAGCGUGGGGAGCAAACGGG